rnacentral:rRNA from 1 species
GGGGAAUAUUGGACAAUGGGCGCAAGCCUGAUCCAGCCAUGCCGCGUGAGUGAUGAAGGCCCUAGGGUUGUAAAGCUCUUUCAACGGUGAAGAUAAUGACGGUAACCGUAGAAGAAGCCCCGGCUAACUUCGUGCCAGCAGCCGCGGUAAUACGAAGGGGGCUAGCGUUGUUCGGAAUUACUGGGCGUAAAGCGCACGUAGGCGGAUCAGUCAGUUAGGGGUGAAAUCCCAGGGCUCAACCCUGGAACUGCCUUUAAUACUGCUGAUCUAGAGUUCGAGAGAGGUGAGUGGAAUUCCGAGUGUAGAGGUGAAAUUCGUAGAUAUUCGGAGGAACACCAGUGGCGAAGGCGGCUCACUGGCUCGAUACUGACGCUGAGGUGCGAAAGCGUGGGGAGCAAAC